rnacentral:rRNA from 1 species
AUGAACGCUAGCUACAGGCUUAACACAUGCAAGUCGAGGGGCAGCAUGAACUUAGCUUGCUAAGUUUGAUGGCGACCGGCGCACGGGUGAGUAACACGUAUCCAACCUGCCGAUGACUCGGGGAUAGCCUUUCGAAAGAAAGAUUAAUACCCGAUGGCAUAGUUCUUCCGCAUGGUGGAACUAUUAAAGGAUUUCGGUCAUCGAUGGGGAUGCGUUCCAUUAGGUUGUUGGCGGGGUAACGGCCCACCAAGCCUUCGAUGGAUAGGGGUUCUGAGAGGAAGGUCCCCCACAUUGGAACUGAGACACGGUCCAAACUCCUACGGGAGGCAGCAGUGAGGAAUAUUGGUCAAUGGACGAGAGUCUGAACCAGCCAAGUAGCGUGAAGGAUGACUGCCCUAUGGGUUGUAAACUUCUUUUAUACGGGAAUAAAGUGAGGCACGUGUGCCUUUUUGUAUGUACCGUAUGAAUAAGGAUCGGCUAACUCCGUGCCAGCAGCCGCGGUAAUACGGAGGAUCCGAGCGUUAUCCGGAUUUAUUGGGUUUAAAGGGAGCGUAGGCGGACGCUUAAGUCAGUUGUGAAAGUUUGCGGCUCAACCGUAAAAUUGCAGUUGAUACUGGGUGUCUUGAGUACAGUAGAGGCAGGCGGAAUUCGUGGUGUAGCGGUGAAAUGCUUAGAUAUCACGAAGAACUCCGAUUGCGAAGGCAGCCUGCUGGACUGUAACUGACGCUGAUGCUCGAAAGUGUGGGUAUCAAACAGGAUUAGAUACCCUGGUAGUCCACACAGUAAACGAUGAAUACUCGCUGUUUGCGAUAUACAGUAAGCGGCCAAGCGAAAGCGUUAAGUAUUCCACCUGGGGAGUACGCCGGCAACGGUGAAACUCAAAGGAAUUGACGGGGGCCCGCACAAGCGGUGGAGCAUGUGGUUUAAUUCGAUGCAACGCGAAAAACCUUACCUACCCUUGACAUGUCAGGAAGCUCUUGUAAUGAGAGCGUGCCCGCAAGGGAGCCUGAACACAGGUGCUGCAUGGCUGUCGUCAGCUCGUGUCGUGAGAUGUUGGGUUAAGUCCCGCAACGAGCGCAACCCCUGUUGCCAGUUGCCAGCAUUAAGUUGGGGACUCUGGCGAGACUGCCGGUGACAAGCCGGAGGAAGGCGGGGAUGACGUCAAAUCAUCAUGCCCCUUAUGACCUGGGCUACACACGUGCUACAAUGGACAGAGCAGAGGGAAGCGAAGCCGCGAGGUGGAGCGAAACCCAUAAAACUGUUCUCAGUUCGGACUGCAGUCUGCAACUCGCCUGCACGAAGUCGGAAUUGCUAGUAAUCGUGGAUCAGCAUGCCACGGUGAAUACGUUCCCGGGCCUUGUACACACCGCCCGUCACACCAUGAGAGCCGGGGGGACCCGAAGUCGGUAGUCUAACCGCAAGGAGGACGCCGCCGAAGGUAAAACUGGUGAUUGGGGUG